UACAGAGGGGGCAAGCGUUGUUCGGAAUUACUGGGCGUAAAGGGCGCGUAGGCGGCCUUCUAAGUCGAACGUGAAAUCCCCGGGCUCAACCCGGGAACUGCGUCCGAUACUGGAAGGCUUGAAUCCGGGAGAGGGAUGCGGAAUUCCAGGUGUAGCGGUGAAAUGCGUAGAUAUCUGGAGGAACACCGGUGGCGAAGGCGGCGUCCUGGACCAAUACUGACACUGAGGAGCGAAAGCCAGGGGAGCAAACGGG
rnacentral:rRNA from 1 species